CUUCUCUUUGUGUUUUUCUCACUUUGGGUUUACAAUAUCAUCCUUAAUUACAAGAUAUAAAUCAAAUUCAAGGGAGCAUUAUUCAUUGAAAAAUGUUAAAUACAAUAAGAAUGAGGAGCAUAAAAACCUUUGAACGCGGAAGCAGUUCGGCGUGCGGAAGCAGUUCGUCGUGCGGAAGAUGUUCGCAGUCGUGGAAGCCGUUCACUGUGGAAGUUGUUCGCUGCGUGGAAGCCGUUCGUCGGGUUGAAGCUGUUCGCAACGGGUUGAAGCUGUUCGCCGGGUGGAAGCUGUUCGCCGAGUGGAAGCGUUCGUCGUGUGGAAGCCAUUCGCCGUUUGCCACUCUGUGUUGUGUGGAAGUCGUCCGUCGAUUCGAAGAAGUGGUCGUUCGCCUGUGUUGUGUGGAAGCGUGGAGAUGAGAAUAGGGUUUCAUCGUGGAGACGUGAGGGAUUACUAAAAAUAGGGAAAUAAAAGAUUUUAAUAUAUUUACUUGAUAUUUUUAAUUAAAUGAAUUUAAUAAAUUUAAUUAAAAUAUUUCAAUAAAUAUAUUUGAUAAACUUUUCAAAAAAUUAUUUUUUUUCAUAUAUAAAUAUAAAAUAAAACAAGCUUUUUUAACAAUAUAUAAAUAUAAAUUUUUUCCAUAUAUAUUGUUUUAAGGUUAAAACUUGAAAAGCAAUAAAUUUUUCAUCUUUUCAUUGGAUACCUUUUUUAACAAUAUAUAAAAGGAAAGAAGUGUUAUUGAGGAAGUUGUAAAAAAAGCCCACUAAUCAUUUUUAAUAAUCAACAUGAAAAUUUCUAUACGAAAAAAUGGAAGAAACAUUAAAAAGGAAAAAAAUUACAUGAGUUUUUGUUAACUUUUGAGGAAGAUCCAUGGAUCAUGAGAAUAUAAAGAUUUGAGAUGAUGAAUAUUUUUUGAAUUAGAAAAGAAGGUUUUUACCGGAGAAAUUAGGAAUUGAUAAUAGAAAAUAAGUUGAAAGGGUGAAAAUUAGAAAACAAUCGAUUUGUACCUUGUUUUCAAUUUGUUAUUAUUAUUAUUUUUCUUUAUUUCUUAGUUUUUGAUAAUAUUUUUUUAAAUUAUAUCAUUUUAAAAAAAAUUAAAUAGAGCGGUUUGUGAGUUUUUGUUUCAAUUUAUUUGUUUUUAUUAAUUUAUUCUUAAUUUUCGCUAUCAUUAAACAAUUUUCUUAAAUUAUGUUUUAGGUUUCCAAGAUCUUCAAUCUUUCCAUAAAAAGAAACAAAAAAAGAAAAAAGAAACCCUAAAAUAUUUUGAUUUUAAUUUUUUUGGUAAAUAACUGAAUUGAGUUAUAUAUGCUCACUCUAAUAAAAUGAUUUUUUUAUUAAACAAAACUUCAUAAAAUCAAGUUGAUGUGCGAGAACUUAAUAUUAUAUCACUUACCAACACAAUAUUUAGAUAUGCAUCUCCUGUAUAUCACCUAUUUUUUUCUAUCAAAUUGUCUAAUCAUGUCACAAAAUUUGUAAUUUUUUUUUAUUGUGAGUAGUGAUAAAUGAUGUGUAAAAGUAAAUAAUUAUGGAGAUAUACCAAUAAAUUGGAUCUAUUAUUAAUCUACACUAAAAACUAAAAACUAAACAAUGGAAAAAGUUGAUCCAUUUAAAAUUUAUUAAAAUGUUUCAAUAAAUUUCAUUAAUAAUCAUUUCAAUAAAAUAUUUUAAUAAAUUUCUUUGAUGAAAUAUUUAAAUAAAUUUAUUUAGUGAAACAGUUCAACAAAUCUGUUUUGGUAAAAUAUUUUCAUGAAAGAUUUCAAUAAAUUUAUUUAAUUAUUUUUUAUUAACUUUUUUAAUAAAUUUAUUUCAUAAUAUUUUCGUUAAAGUUUUUAACAAAUACAUUUAAUAAUGUUUUCAUUAAAAUAUUUUAAUAUUUAUUAAAUAAGCAUUUCAUCAAAAUACUUAAAUUUACUUAAUGAAAGAUUUCAUUAAAAUAUAUAAAUUUAUUUAUAAAUUUUGUAUAAAAUAUUUUAAUAAGUUUAUUUAAUGAAAUAUUUUCAAUAAAAUUGUUUAAAGGAAAGAUUCAAUAAACUUAUUUUAAUGAAUUCAAAAAAUUAUUUUAGUGAUAAAUUUCAAAAAUUUAUUUAACAAUUUUUUAUUAAAGUAUUUUAAUAAAUUUAUUUAAUAAACUUUUCAUUAAAAUGUUUUAAUAAAUUUAUUUAAAGAAAUGGUUUCAAUAAAUUUAUUUAAAUAAAAUAUUUUCAAUAGGUUUAUUUAAAAGAAAGAUUUUAAUAAAUUUAAUUUAAGUAAAGAUUUCAACAAAUUUAUUUUAGUCAAAGAUUUGUAAAAGUUUGUUUUAGUGAAAGAUUUCAAAAAAUUUAUUUAAUAAUAUUUUAUUAAAAUAUUUUAAUAAAUUUAUUUAAUGAGUUUUUCAUUAAAAUAUUUUAAUAAAUCUAUUUAAGGAAAUAAUUUCAAUAAUUUUAUUUAAAGGAAAAUUUUCAACAAAUUUAUUUUAACGAGAGAUUUUAGUAAAUUUAAUUUAAUGAGAGAUUUCAAAUUAUUUAAGUGAAAAUUUUCAAAUGAUUUAUUUUCAUAAGUUGAUUUUAAAAAAAUUAUUUUAAUAAGUUGAUUUUAAAAAAAUAUUUUAAUAAGUUGAUUUUUAUACUUUUUAUUUUCAUAUUUUUAAACGUUUUAUAUUUGACAUUUUGGCAAUUGACAUUUUAAAAGUGUUAAAUAAAAAAUGUUAACUAUAUUUGACGUUGUUUUCGCGUCAAGUAAAUGUCUACUAUACGUGACACGAAAAAAACGUCAAGUAAAAUCUCCACUAUAUUUGACGCGAAUAAACUGUCAAAUAAAUCUCCACUAUAUUUGACGCGAAAACCAUGUCAUAUAAAAGUUAACGUAAAAAUUUUCUUUUUUAAAACCAUACCUGACAUGUUUUUUGUGUCAAGUAAAUGUUCACUACUUUUAACUCGAAUAAAAUGUCAAGUAAAAUCUACUUUAUACUUGACGCAAAAAAAAAAAAAAAAAAAAAACAUCAAAUAAAGCUAACAUAAAAUAAUUAAAAAAAAUUCGUGAAAACUUCAUAUUUUUUAAGACUAUACUUGACGUUUUUUCUUUAACAUAGUUCAUACUUGACGUUUUUUUAAUAAAAACGUCAAGUAUGUAAAAGUUGCUAGCGUCAAGUAAACCCAUUUUUGUAGUAGUGAUGACAGGUAAUUCUCACCUAUUUUCUAGACCGUUGUCUCCUGCCCCUUUUCCAUCGGUUACAUUGGCCGAUGGCUCCACAUCUUCUGUUCUUGGCUCUGGCACUAUUCACCUUACCCCAUCAUUUUCUCUCUCUUCUGUGUUACAUUUGCCUAACUUAUCCUUUAAUUUAAUUUCUACUAGUCAACUUACUCAUGACCUAAAUUGUGUUGUCAUGUUCUUUUCUGGUUAUUGCUUGUUUCAGGAUCGUGUGACGAAGAAGAUUAUUGGUAGAGGAUAUGAGUCAGGAGGCCUUUAUCUCUUUGAUCAUCAAGUAUCGCAAGCUGUGGCGUGUUCUGUUGUUCCCUCUCCUUUUGAAGUCCAUUGUCGUUUAGGUCAUCCAUCUUUGUUUGUGUUGAAGAAACUUUAUCCAGAAUUUAGGUCUUUGUCCUCUUUAAAUUGUGAUUCGUGUCAAUUUGCGAAAUUUCAUCGUCUUAGUUCGAGUCCUCGAGUCGAUAAACGAGCAAUUGCUCCAUUUGAGUUAGUUCAUUCUGAUAUUUGGGGUCCGUGUCCAGUUGUAUCUCAAACAGGCUUUCGUUAUUUUGUUACUUUUGUUGACGAUCAUUCUCGUCUAACUUGGUUAUAUUUAAUGAAAAAUCGUUCUGAGUUAUUAUCUCAUUUUUGUGCCUUUCAUACUGAAAUAAAAAACCAAUUUAAUGUCUCUAUCAAAACUUUGCGUACUGAUAAUGCAGGUGAAUAUUUUUCUCAUUCUCUUGGCUCUUACUUGUGUGAAAAUGGCAUUAUUCAUCAAUCUUCCUGUGCUGACACUCCAUCUCAAAAUGGUGUUGCAGAGCGGAAAAAUAGGCAUUUACUUGAAACUGCCCGUGCUUUAUCGUUUCAAAUGCAUGUUUCAAAAAUCUUUUGGGUUGAUGCUGUUUCUACAGCUUGUUUUUUGAUUAAUAGAAUGCCUUCCUCUGUUCUUAAUGGUGAGAUUCCCUAUCGUGUUCUUUUUCCUACCAAGCAUUUGUUUCCUAUUGCUCCUAAGAUAUUUGGUUGUGUCUGUUUUGUUCGUGACGUCCGUCCUCAUCAUACUAAGUUAGAUCCCAAAUCCUUGAAGUGUAUCUUCUUGGGUUAUUCACGUGUUCAAAAGGGUUAUCGUUGUUAUUGUCCUACCCUUAAAAGGUAUCUGGUUUCGCCUGAUGUUGUCUUUUUUGAAGAUACACCCUUUACUUCAUCACCAUCGAGUUUGUGUCAGGGGGAGGAUGACAAUCUUUUUAUAUAUGAGGUUACCUCUCCCACACCAUCCUUGUCUACUGAUGUGCCUCCUUCCCGCCCGUUGAUUUCUCAAGUCUACUCCCGACGACCUCCACCACAACCUUCAGACUCAUGUCCUCCAUCAAUGCUUCCUUCAUCAUGUGAUCCAGCGCCAAGUGAUGAUCUUCCCAUUGCUCUUCGCAAAGGUAAACGCAAGUGUACUUACCCCGUUUCUUCCUUUAUUUCCUAUCACCAGUUAUCUCCCUCCACAUAUGCGUUUAUUACGUCUCUUGAGUCCACAUCUAUUCCUAACUCUGUUCAUGAAGCUUUGUCUCAUCCUGGCUGGCAAAAUGCAAUGAUUGAGGAGAUGACUGCUUUAGAUGAUAAUGGUACUUGGGAUUUGGUAUCUCGUCCUGCAGGAAAGAAGGCCAUUGGUUGUAAAUGGGUGUUUGCUGUCAAGAUGAAUCCUGAUGGAACAGUGGCUCGUUUAAAGGCUCGCCUUGUUGCCAAAGGUUAUGCUCAAAUCUAUGGCACUGAUUAUUCAGAUACAUUCUCUCCGGUUGCCAAGUUAACUUCCAUUCGCCUAUUUCUUUCCAUGGCUGCUACCAAUAAAUGGUCGUUGCAUCAACUUGACAUUAAGAAUGCUUUUCUUCACGGUGAUCUUCAAGAGGAAGUUUAUAUGGAACAACCACCAGGGUUUGUUGCUCAGGGGGAGAGUGAUAAAGUAUGUCGCCUUCGAAAAUCUCUGUAUGGUUUGAAACAGAGUCCUCGUGCGUGGUUUGGUAAGUUUAGUCAAGCCCUUGUAUGCUUUGGUAUGAAGAAGAGUACAUCUGAUCAUUCAGUUUUCUAUCGCCGAUCUGAGAAGGGUAUAGUUCUACUAGUUGUAUAUGUUGAUGAUAUUGUUAUUACUGGAAAUGAUGCAUUGGGUAUUUCGUCUCUCAAAACUUUCCUUCAGGGUCAGUUUUAUACAAAAGAUUUGGGCCAAUUGAAAUAUUUUUUGGGCAUUGAAGUGAUGAGAAGCAAGAAAGGUAUUUAUUUGUCUCAACGAAAAUAUGUACUUGAUUUGUUGUCUGAAACAGGAAAAUUAGGCGCCAAACCAAGUGGCACUUCAAUGAUGCCAAAUCAGCAACUUGUUAAAGAAGGAGAAUUAUGUAAAGAUCCUGUGAGAUAUAGGAGAUUAGUUGGGAAGUUGAACUACUUAACAGUGACUCGACCAGACAUUGCAUAUUCUGUAAGUGUUGUAAGUCAAUUCAUGUCUUCCCCUACAGUGGAUCAUUGGGCUGCAGUAGAGCAGAUUUUGUGUUAUCUAAAAGCUGCUCCUGGACGUGGGAUCCUAUACAAAGAUCAUGGACAUACGAGAGUUGAAUGUUUUUCUGAUGCUGAUUGGGCGGGGUCUCGUGAGGAUAGGAGAUCGACUUCUGGAUAUUGUGUUUCUGUAGGUGGAAACUUAGUUUCAUGGAAGAGUAAGAAACAAAAUGUUGUUUCUCGUUCGAGUGCUGAGUCAGAAUAUAGAGCUAUGACACAAUCUGUGUGUGAAAUAGUAUGGAUUCACCAACUAUUAUCUGAGAUAGGCUUCAGUAUUACCGUGCCAGCUAAAUUAUGGUGUGAUAAUCAAGCUGCACUUCAUAUUGCAUCUAAUCCAGUAUUUCAUGAACGAACUAAACAUAUUGAGGUGGAUUGUCACUUCAUUCGUGAGAAAAUCCAAGAUGGGUUGGUGUCCACAGGAUAUGUGAAGACCGGAGAACAAUUGAGAGAUAUUCUAACUAAAGCUUUAAAUGGAACAAGGAUAAGCUAUCUGUUGAACAAGCUGGGCAUGAUCGACAUAUUUGCUCCAGCUUGAGGGGGAGUGUUAUGAUAUAUAUAUAUAUACCUAUGUCCUUUAUUGUAAUUUUACAUAGUCUCUAGGGUUUAGUUUAUUCUCUAUAUAAAUAUGUAACAUUGCUUUGACUCAAGGAUAAUAAGACAGAUACGUUUCUGAAUUCUAAAUUAUGAUUCUUAUAAAGUAAAUUAUCCUACAGAUUAAAAGUUUGAACUUAGACUAUUCCAAGUGCUUCCCAAAUCUUAAAUAUUUGAACCAACUGCACCAACUUUGCACAACACAACAAUGUAAAACACAUUAACUACUUUCUCUUUUAUGCACAUUAUAUAUCAAAUAAAAAUAUUAGAAGGGAAAAAAUGGAAGAAAAAAAACAUACUAACAACGAUAAAAUAUAAUAAGCUUCAAUCGAAGAGAGAAAGUUUGAAGAACAUAAUUCAAAGGUUCCCAAAAUCAUAUCAUAAUUAGAAAGCCAAUACCAACACCAAUUCAAAGAGAACACCUAAUCUACCAUACAAAAGUCUAAAUAUAAUUUUUUUUUUAAUCUUGAGUUUUAGUGUAUGAUGCAAGUGAAGCAAAACAACAUUACAAUAUAAGAUCUUUUUACCCUAAUAUUUAUUAAUCAACUAAGAAAAAUUUGUGUUCAAAGUUGACCAAGAAUCCAAGACUUUCAAUCGGCAAAGGUAAUAUUAUGAACAUGGUAGUUGGAUGUGUUCCCUUUAGCAUAGUAUCUUAAAUAAUCACUUUUUGUUAUUAGAGAAAAACUCAAUUUUCUCUUAUAACUGAAAAAGGAUUUGAUAAUAGGUAAGUAUAAUUUAAUAGAAAUUCUAACUAAAGAGAACUAAUUAUAAAAGAAAAUAACGUCUAAAAAAAAUAAUUAAAAAAAUAACUAAGGCAACUAUACAAUACAAAUCUACACUUGGCAAUCACAACUUUCGAUCUUCCUUGUAUGGAGUAACAUUUUAAAGAGGCCAAACUAAGAUAAAGAUCUAAGCGAAAACUUCAUCGAUGGCACAAGAAAGAUGGAUGGAAACCUUAUAAUGAUACAGGUAACAAACCUUUUCAAUUGAGGUUUAGAUGCAAAACAUGUAAUAUUGUUCAACACUAUUUCGCCAAAGUUAGUUAUUAAAAUCAAGCAAAUCGUAAAACAAAAAAAUGUAGAUUUAAGAGGACUAUAUAAUAUAUCAACUAGGAAUGAAAUAGGCAAGAUAAAAGCAAGUAUUAAGAACAAAACAAAACGUAACAAAAGAGGAAGACCAGCUUACUAUUCAAAACAGCAAAGGAGUUCCACAUCACUUGCAAGAUAGCCUGUGGAAUCACAUUCAUUUCAUUGCUAUAAAACUAUCUUGGAAACUUUGGCAGAGUUGUGUUUGGAAAUUACAAUGAUGUUUCGCAAAGAUGUUUACAAUAAUAAAACUAUAACAUAAAUGUUUCAUAAUGUUGGAAGAAAUUAUAGCAAUUCAUUGCAAAUAAGAUGCUAACCUUAAUUUUAUGGUAAAAGGUUCUAAUUGUUUUUUCUUUUUAAGCUCUUAUUUAGAAGGGAUAUACCUGUUACAAGUUGAAAUGUGAGUUGGAAAAAUUGGACAAGAAGUUAUAAUCUUACAAGCAAAUGAUCCUUAUAGAAAGAACUAACUUUAUUCAAGCAAAAUAUCUUCAAGAACAAAAUUGCAAUUACACAAACACUUAUUAACACAAAUAAAAAAAAUGAGGAAACAAAUUCUUAUUAGUAAAACACAUGUAACCAAUAAAAAAUGAAAAUCAGACCAAUGAGUACAAUGAAAUACAACAUGAUAACAAGACAGAGAUGCAACAUAUACUUAAAAUACACAUCAGAAAAGAAGUUGAUUCUUGGCAACAAAGAUUUUCUCUUUGAAGUGUUGCUCACAACAGUCAAUAGGUCUCACAACUUCAAUGACUUGCAAGGAUUACAAAUCCAGAUGUACGGAUGCUCGUGUGUGUUCAAUAAAGUAAAUAAUAGAAAUUUUUUCAAACAAAAACCAAGCAUAAUAAAUUUCUAUGACCAUUAAGACAUCCAUAUUCUUAUUGCUUCUCUCCCACGUUUCACGAAGGCCCUCAGCCAUCUGCCAAUUCCAUUUGAAUUAUUUUUUAUAAAGCCCAUUUUAAAAACAAAAGUUCAAAAUGCGUGAAAGCACUUUGAGACGUAAAACGACAACCAAGUAUGCAAGUGAAACAAACUUAGUCUUAAACAAGUCCCAAAAUGGCAAUCAAGUGGGUAAGGUCAACAAACUUAGUGUCUCUUGAUUUGAAAUUUGAAAAAUAUUUGUAAGGUGUGAUAAAUUCAAAAUCAAAUCAUUUUAUGUUUAUGUUGUUGAAUUUAAAGAAAUCAAAUGAUUUUAAAUCAACUUUUAAAAAAUUAAAAAUUUGUUUCUUUCUCUUUUCAUUUUUUUCUCAUAUUUCAUUUUUCAAGAUUUAAAUAGUUUUUUUUUGUUUUAUCUGUUCUUUUUUUAUAGGUGAGUUAUGAGCUUAUAGUUUAGCAUUGUUAGGUCGUUUUGAAAAUUCAAGUGAUACUCCGAAGUUAUUCUUGGAAUAUUUUUUUACAUUAUAUUUGUUAAAUCACUAUUUAAUUUAUUAGGAGCUUGAUAAAUAACCACUAAACUAAAACCAUAGAGGAUAAUUGAUAGACCACUAGUACAUGUUCUAUCACUAACUAACAUACAGUAAAACUUUGUUAUAUUUGUGAAUAUCUUCAGCAAUUUUAUCAUUUAAGGCAAUUUUUCGUAUAAUACUGACAUGAACAUCGUAAGAAAACUCAAAUUAAGUAAGUUAAAUUAAAAAAAAAUUGUAUGAAUGUUUCGAGAACCAUUAAUUAUAAAUUCAACAUUUUUGAAUGAAAAAUUGGAUUGGUUUGUGGUGAUGGCUAACAUGCACGUCUAACAAUUAUUUUCAAUUUCUAAUACUUUCAUCUAUUGCCAAAGUUGGAAACAAAUGUUCACAAUUAUUUUUAUCUUAUUAAAUGAAAUUUCACAAUUCUUAAAAAUUUUGGAUUAUAAUUAUUUGAAAAAAAUAUAUAUUUUUUUUACUUUAUCAUUACUGAAAAUUUUAUCUCAGUUUUUGCAGUAAAAUUUGAUUUUUUAGUCUAAAUUUUAAAAACAAAAUAUUUGUUUUAAUUAUAAAGAAAUUGUUUUGGGUUUUAAAUGAGCUUUAUCACAAAUAAUUCAAAUAUAUUUGAAAUGAGCUUUUCUUCACUAACUCUAAAACCUAAACCUUUUAAAUAAUUGGUUUAGUUAUAAAGAAGUAGCCGGAUUUCUAAUCAAAAUCGGUUACUUAAUGGCUUUUAGUUAUAAAUAAUGGCUUAGUUAUAAAUAAUGGCUUUUGUAAUACUUUCUUCACUAAUUAAGUAAAAUGGAUUUAGUUAUAAAUAAUGGCUUUUCUUCACUAAUCGGCUACUUCUUUAUAACUAAACCUUUAAAAUGGGUUUUGGGUUUUAAAUUUGUUUUAGUUAUAAACCUUUUCCCUCAUCUCCCCUUCUCUCUCACGUUUCAAAUUUCUCUAACGGCUCUCUCUCUACUUUAUCCUCCUCUCCCCUUCUCUUAUCUUCUUCGUCUUCCUCAAAAUCGCCGAUUCACGACCAUCUUCUUCUCCUAGCCCUAACAGCGCCGAAUUUCUCAACUGUCGAUCUACGUGACAAUAAAAAUCGCCGGAUUUCUAAUACUUUCUCAAUUGUCGAUUCACGGCCAUCAUCUUCUUCUCAUGCCUGCUUGACAAAGCCUUUUCGGUCUACCAAUAAAGGAAAAAGGAUUUCUGGUGACACAAAAGAUGUGCUGGACGCUCUUUUUCCUAUUCCACUACGCAUCGUGGUCUUUCCCUUGCUGGUUGGAUGACUACUAUGGAUGAAGAGCACAACUACUUCCAGUCUCUGGUCGAUAAGUACCCAAGGAAGGUAAAUUCCAGCGGAGAAAGUCGAGAGCUCCUUAGUUGAUCACAAAUCCUUCCAAAUUCUUUGUUCGUAGAAUAAUUUGAAAUCCUUCCAAUAUGGAUCCAUGUUGUCUUUUAUAUCCAUAAGAUACCAAUUAGAUUGUGUUAAUUGUUGUUUAUAAGAAAAUAUUUGUGUGCAGAGUUACAGUGGGUAAAUCUUAAUGGCUGGCAGAAAAUUGGUUCGGGAUAUAUUACUCUCAAGACAAAGUAUUUUUUAUCCGUUUACUCAACAUGGGGUAUUUGUUCUUCCUAUGCUUUAUCCUUAUCCCAUCUUUCUCCGUUGUAGUCUUCAUAGGAUGGAUUUAUGUGGUGUAAAUUUAUUCAUUUAGUUUGUUUGAUUUAUGGUUGCAUUUAGGGAGAAGGUAAAUUACAUAAGCCGAAGUAGUUAUGGAAAACAUCUCCAAUUUACAGCAAGUUAAAGAAAAAGAAAAAAGAGAAAAACAGCAGUUAAAAAAAACUGGGCAUCUUGCUUCUUGCUUCUUUCUUAUUGAAAGUUAUGCCGUUUCUUUCAAGUCAAAUUGACCACAAAAUGCUCAAAUGAGAUUCUUCAAUAGGAAUAUGUAAAAAAAAUAUAAUAUGUAAAAGAAUUUUUGUGAAACGUGGGAGAGAAGUGAUAACAUUAUCCUUCAAAAAAUUCAGGAGUAAAUAUUUAUGUGAAAGGACAUAUUAUUUGGCUAUUUGACCUUAUUUUUUAUUAAAUUAUUUGGUUGGAAAUGAUAAACUACACAUUAUUGUUUGCUUCAGUUGUGAUCUUGAUUAUGGGCUAUUUGGUAUUUUGCCUACAAACUGUAUUGUUAAUUAUCUGUUAGCUUUUGUUUUCCUGUCACAGCUUUAUGUUUACGUGGCUAAUUGUAGCCGAAAGUUUUAUUUAUCAAUCUUAUUUUUCACAGCAUAAAUGAAAUUGUGUUUCAAGAAUCAGAUGCUGCUACAUCAUUCAAGGAAAUUCGUUGUAGAGGUCCGUAAGUUUUUUCCUUUGGAGCUGUGAUAUUAACCUGUUUGAAUAAAGGAAUCUGACUUGGUCUUUUCCUCUUUAACAUUAUGGAUUAUGUCUUUCUCUUUACCAGAUUUCGUAGCUGAAGUUUAUGAAGUAAUCAAAUCGGUGUUAACUUUUUGUAUAAAGGUUAGUGCUCAUUGCUAAGCUUAUUUCUAAGAUGAAAGAUGCUUUUAUCCCCUCCCCAAAGAAUAUCAUUACUAUUUAUGUUGUAUUUCUGCUAACUAAUUCUUGCAUAGCAUCUGGUUUGAUAAUUAAAGUAAAGUUUCUGACAUGGAGGUUUUCAAGUUGUAAUAUAUAUUUUUAUGUUUUAGGUAGAUUCCCAAACUUUGAAGAAACAAUACAGUACUGAGGUAAUUGAACGUUGUAAGGCAGAGCAUCGGGCUUACCAGAGCCAAUGUAUCUUCUUCGAUAACAAGGUAAGGAUAGUCCUGAUACUUCUGUUAAUCAAUUAUAG
rnacentral:lncRNA from 1 species